rnacentral:rRNA from 1 species
UACGUAGGUGGCAAGCGUUGUCCGGAUUUACUGGGCGUAAAGAGCGCGCAGGCGGUCGUUCAAGUCGCGUGUGAAAGCCCCCGGCUCAACUGGGGAGGGUCACGCGAUACUGAUCGACUCGAAGGCAGGAGAGGGAAGUGGAAUUCCCGGUGUAGUGGUGAAAUUCGUAGAUAUUGGGAAGAACACCAGUGGCGAAGGCGGCUAACUGGUCCAGCACUGACGCUGAGGUGCGAAAGCGUGGGGAGCAAACAGG